AGUGAACGCUGGCGGUAGGCCUAACACAUGCAAGUCGAACGGCAGCACAGUAAGAGCUUGCUCUUACGGGUGGCGAGUGGCGGACGGGUGAGGAAUACAUCGGAAUCUACUUUUUCGUGGGGGAUAACGUAGGGAAACUUACGCUAAUACCGCAUACGACCUACGGGUGAAAGCAGGGGAUCUUCGGACCUUGCGCGAUUGAAUGAGCCGCUGUCGGAUUAGCUAGUUGGCGGGGUAAAGGCCCACCAAGGCGACGAUCCGUAGCUGGUCUGAGAGGAUGAUCGGCCACACUGGAACUGAGACACGGUCCAGACUCCUACGGGAGGCAGCAGUGGGGAAUAUUGGACAAUAGGCGCAAGCCUGAUCCAGCCAUACCGCGUGGGUGAAGAAGGCCUUCGGGUUGUAAAGCCCUUUUGUUGGGAAAGAAAAGCAGCAGGUUAAGACCCCGCUGUUCUGACGGUACCCAAAGAAUAAGCACCGGCUAACUUCGUG
rnacentral:rRNA from 1 species